rnacentral:SRP_RNA from 1 species
UCCGGGGAGCUCGGGGAAAGAGUCAGUCCGAACCAGGUCAGGACAGGAAUGUAGCAGCCUUAAGGACCCCGAUUCUUGCCCUGAGUUUUCUCCGGUUUU